rnacentral:rRNA from 1 species
UACGGGGGGAGCAAGCGUUGUUCGGAUUUACUGGGCGUAAAGGGCGCGUAGGCGGCGCAACAAGUCAGUUGUGAAAUCUCUGGGCUUAACCCAGAGCGGUCAACUGAUACUGUCGUGCUAGAGUGCGGAAGGGGCAACUGGAAUUCUCGGUGUAGCGGUGAAAUGCGUAGAUAUCGAGAGGAACACCUGCGGCGAAGGCGGGUUGCUGGGCCGACACUGACGCUGAGGCGCGAAAGCGUGGGGAGCGAACAGG